UACGGAGGGUGCAAGCGUUAUCCGGAUUCACUGGGCGUAAAGGGUGCGUAGGCGGGUCUUUAAGUCAGGGGGGAAAUCCUGGAGCUCAACUCCAGAACUGCCUUUGAUACUGAGGAUCUUGAGUUCGGGAGAGGUGAGUGGAACUGCGAGUGUAGAGGUGAAAUUCGUAGAUAUUCGCAAGAACACCAGUGGCGAAGGCGGCUCACUGGCCCGAUACUGACGCUGAGGCACGAAAGCGUGGGGAGCAAACAGG
rnacentral:rRNA from 1 species